rnacentral:piRNA from 1 species
GGAUGUGCCUUAAGAACCGUGACCUCAUC